CGGCUCCGGCGGGUCUUCAGGCUACGGGUUCAGCCAGGCGCCAGCCGCGUUCUCUGGAGACGCUCUCUCUCGGAGGGACCCUGCACUUGCCUGAACUCGAGAGUGGGCGCUGCCCGAAGUUCUAGGGGAUGUAUGUGCCAUCCAUCGCAUCCCCACAAGUGCAAUCUCCAGCCUGUGCCCUGAGGUCACUUCCCGCAUCACCCCAUCACCAUCAGGGCCUGUUCUCACUGCCUUCUGCUGUCCCCACAAGACUUGAAUUUCCUGACAGCAGGAACUGCGGCCUCUUCCGUGUGGACUCAAGAUGCAACUGUGCCCUGUGUGUGGAAGGUGUUUAAUAAAUGGAGAAUGGCACCUGCCUUGCCUAGAGCUGGGAACACAGCGCUUGGAAGGCGUGGGGAGUGAAGGUCAAAGCCUCGCCCGAAGCAAAGACGCAAUGAUUAGGCUCAGGGAGGGCGAAGCACUGUGCAGCCUCGGGAGCCUGGGAGGUGGCUGUGAACUUGAAGGACGGUGUUGGUGUUCCUGAGGGUUCGGGGCCACGGGGCACAGGUUAGGGACCACAGAGUCCCUAGAGAGUGCAGAAACGUCUCCACCUCCCUGGGGCAGGCCGUGGUCCUGCCAAAGUCCAGGUCUGUGAGCCUCAUUUAUCUGCAAGGGUCUCCUUCCGUGGGCUCCUGGAAGGCCGCUGUCUCCUGCCUUCCGGACCCGACAGGGGCCUGUGAAGGGUGUGAGUGGGGUUCGCAAGCUGUCUUCGGUCCGGUCCGGAAAGCCUAGCGGGUCACGUGCAGGCUUCUUAGGAGCGCCCCGGGGAAUUAGGCCGGGGCACGCGUCAUGCCUGUCCCCAGCACCCAGCUUGGUGCACUCGGUGCGCUCGU
rnacentral:lncRNA from 1 species